rnacentral:rRNA from 1 species
UACGGGGGGGGCAAGCGUUGUUCGGAAUUACUGGGCGUAAAGGGCUCGUAGGCGGCCAACUAAGUCAGACGUGAAAUCCAUCGGCUUAACCGGGGAACUGCAUCUGAUACUGGAUGGCUUGAGAUUGGGAGAGGGAUGCGGAAUUCCAGGUGUAGCGGUGAAAUGCGUAGAUAUCUGGAGGAACACCGGUGGCGAAGGCGGCAUCCUGGACCAACACUGACGCUGAGGAGCGAAAGCCAGGGGAGCAAACGGG